UUGAAAGGGAAACGAUUGAAGUCAGUCGUACCAGCGGGAAUCAACCUUUCGAGUGGUGUUUUGGAGUUUUGAAGUGUGUCAAAACCUUUGAGAUUUUAAAAUUUUCGCUCCUUUGGUGUACUUUCUCGUGGGUAGGUUAACAUCGAUCUCGAUCAUCAUAAAGGUUGGAGGAAGGUACGUUCGAGUCUUGAUUGAAUGGCCUAUGCCUUGGUGAAGUUGGGAUCGGGGAAGCGGGAAUAACCAUUGCCCUUUUUUACUCUUUUGGACUAUCCGCCUGAUCUCUGAUACGUGGCCUUGGCAUCGAAAGCUUGCUUAUGGUAUCAAGGUAUUACGGUCAAAAGGUUAGAACGGAUUACAUUCGUUAAGGAUGUUGACGUA
rnacentral:rRNA from 1 species